rnacentral:rRNA from 1 species
CCCGAGAUGGGGACAACCUUCCGAAAGGAGGGCUAAUACCGAAUGAGACCACAGUGACACAUGUCACAGGGGUUAAAGGUGGCCUCUAUUUAUAAGCUAUCACUUGGAGAUGGGCUCAUGCACCAUUAGCUAGUUGGUGAGGUAACGGCUCACCAAAGCUACGAUGGUUAGCUGAUCUGAGAGGUUGAUCAGCCACACUGGAACUGAGACACGGUCCAG